AUUGAACGCUGGCGGCAGGCCUAACACAUGCAAGUCGAACGAGUGGCGGACGGGUGAGUAAUGUCUGGGAAACUGCCCGAUGGAGGGGGAUAACUACUGGAAACGGUAGCUAAUACCGCAUACCAUCGGAUGUGCCCAGAUGGGAUUAGCGAGUAGGUGGGGUAACGGCUCACCUAGGCGACGAUCCCUAGCUGGUCUGAGAGGAUGACCAGCCGCACUGGAACUGCGACACGGUCCAGACUCCGACGGGAGGCAGCAGUGGGGAAUAUUGCACAAUGGGCGCAAGCCUGAUGCAGCCAUGCCGCGUCUAUGACGACGGCCUUCGGGUUGUAAAGUACUUUCAGCGAGGAGGCGUUACUGGCAGAAGAAGCACCGGCCAACCCCGUGCCAGCAGCCGCGGUAAUUC
rnacentral:rRNA from 1 species